CAAGGAAGGAGGACAGAGGUCAAGUGUGUGUCAGGAGCUGAGGACAACGGGGUGAAAAAGGAGCUGAGGACAACAGGGUGAAAAAGAAGCUGAGGACAACGGGAAAACAAUGUAGAAGCUCACUAAAGAAGAUUCCUCCUUAUUGGCCCUUCCUGAUGUGUAGCCAGAAGUGAGGAAAGAUGAUCAAAGGCUCCUUCCAAAGGACAGCAGUGGUAAUGGGUGCAGCUCGUGACAGCCCUCACUGACCCAUCUUUCUUGGUUUGUGCACAGUCUGCUCAGUAGCAAGAUGGUGACUUGUAGUUUGUCAAAAGCAGCAGUUUGCUGGACCUGGAGACAGAAAUGCUUUGAACAAGAGGAAACUGUCUUUUCAACAACUUUGCAAAAACUGGGCAUUUAGUCUUUCUGCGAAUUUGAUAUGCUAAAAAUAACUGUGUCACAUGGUCUGUGAUCAGGA